rnacentral:rRNA from 1 species
AUAUGAAGGCGGGCUGGAAUCUCUCGGGGUUACAGCCUUGCUGAAUUAUUCACCCUCCGUCUUUUGCGUACUUCUUGUUUCCUUGGUGGGUUCGCCCACCACUAGGACAAACAUAAACCUUUUGUAAUUGCAAUCAGCGUCAGUAACAAAUUAAUAAUUACAACUUUCAACAACGGAUCUCUUGGUUCUGGCAUCGAUGAAGAACGCAGCGAAAUGCGAUAAGUAGUGUGAAUUGCAGAAUUCAGUGAAUCAUCGAAUCUUUGAACGCACAUUGCGCCCUUUGGUAUUCCAAAGGGCAUGCCUGUUCGAGCGUCAUUUGUACCCUCAAGCUUUGCUUGGUGUUGGGCGUCUUGUCUCUAGCUUUGCUGGAGACUCGCCUUAAAGUAAUUGGCAGCCGGCCUACUGGUUUCGGAGCGCAGCACAAGUCGCACUCUCUAUCAGCAAAGGUCUAGCAUCCAUUAAGCCUUUUUUCAACUUUUGACCUCGGAUCAGGUAGGGAUACCCGCUGAACUUAAGCAUAUCAAUAAGCGGAGGAAUU